UACGUAGGGUGCAAGCGUUGUCCGGAAUUAUUGGGCGUAAAGCGCUCGUAGGUGGUCUGUUGCGUCGGCUGUGAAAUCCCGAGGCUCAACCCCGGGCCUGCAUUCGAUACGGGCAGACUAGAGUUCGGUAGGGGAGUCUGGAAUUCCUGGUGUAGCGGUGAAAUGCGCAGAUAUCAGGAGGAACACCGGUGGCGAAGGCGGGACUCUGGGCCGAUACUGACGCUGAGGAGCGAAAGCGUGGGGAGCAAACAGG
rnacentral:rRNA from 1 species